UUGACCUUCGGACCUACUACGAACUUUACAGGAAGUGAUCUUGUGUCGCCACGUUUCAGCAACAUUUUGGGCAGAGGUGCGACUAAAAAGCGGUGCUGUGGUACGUGUUAUACGGACCGGUGAGGGAUAUGGCCUGGUUCGUCAACAAAGCUUGGCAGUGGUUGACAGGAAACAAUGAUGAUGGCGAUGAACACACAGGGCACCACGAAUAUCGAGGAAGUUUCCACUAUGCUGAGCCAGAAAGGUAUACAGAUGAAGGGCAGCUGUGGAGGGACCACAGGAAGAAAGUUACACUCGACAGCGAAGAAACAAAGCACGCAAAAGAGUUGGUAAGAGUAUUCAUUGGAGCUAUCGUCGAUACUGUCAAAGAACAGAUCGA